rnacentral:hammerhead_ribozyme from 1 species
AUCUAACCGACGAGUCCCAAAUAGGAUGAAACGCUCGUCCUGGAU